AUAUAUAUAUAUAUAGAGAGAGAGAUAUGAGAUAGAUAUAUAGAUAUCAGAGACUGCAGCCUGUGUGCAACAUUGUAUAGUUGGUUUUUAACAACUUCCAAACCAACCAAUUGAGAUUCUGGCGUCAUUGGUGGUUUCACCAUCAUAAAAGCAGGAGCCAAUUUGUGUCCUGGAGGGCCAAGAGUCUGCAGGUUUUCAUCAUCCAAACAAACCAAACUACAGUGCUGCUGCUGCUGUUGUUGUUGGUGUUAGGGGAGGAAUUUCCACAUCCCAUCUCUCUCAUCGGAGUCUAUAAAAGCUCAGAGGA